GUUCAAAAGAUUGAUUUUUGUUGUAAAGAUUACUGUGAUCUCAAACAGGGGAUAUAGUAUAUAACUAAGUAAAGGUUCAAGAUUAUAAAAGUUAUUUUUCUUGGUUCAUAGCUAUUACACAAACUGAAUGUUUAGGCUCUGUUAAUUUCAUUUUGUAUUUUCCUUGUAAACUUUAUAACUGUUGCCUGUUAGUGUUUUGCAGAGGUACUAUAUCUAAAAGGAGAAAAAAAAAUGUAGGUUAAUUUGAGAGAAUAAGCAAUCACCUACAGAUAAAUAGUGUAUAAUGCUGACUUCCAGUACUAAUACUAACCCCAAUUAAAUGAAAGAGGUAACUAUAAAAUUAUAGAUAUUGAAGUUACAACCUGUUACUCCCUCUUUAAGACUGGUGAAACUGGCUUGCUGGAUGUUUAAAACCAAAAACUUGGAGACCAAGCCAAGAAAGUAAAAGGGCCAAGGAAAAAAGGAGGUAAUAUUUGGCUCUUGCCUUCUAAGGUCAGCCAGCACCCAGAGAAUGACAGGACCCUGUAAGGGCUCUGAAACUCCAGUGAGUCACCUGAUCUGCCAGUCAGGGGGAUCAAGAAGACCCUAAAGAACAGAAUGCCAACAGGUGCACAUUCUGUAAAGAGGAGG
rnacentral:lncRNA from 1 species